CAUAAUUUCUUUUACAAGCAGUCUUGCAUUUUUAAUUAAAAGAAUUUAAACUAGUAUUAAGCAUGUGUGGAAUUCAGUCUUACUGAUAAUUAUUAAUUUUAGAAUAUCAUGCGUAGAAUAGAGAUCCUUUCUGUAGCCACCGCUGUUGUGCACUUUAGAAAUUAAACUCCCAAGUUGCUCUGGGUGCCACGGCACAAGGGAACUUUGUUGUAGCUAAAAAAAAAUAAAUCAGGAUUGAUUCUUAGACUACACCUUGUAAUGUCACUGCAUUCACUUGGUAUCCCUGAACUUUUCAGCAGGUGGCUGUGCCACAGAUCUGGUCAUUUAUUAAUGCAGUUGUAUAUUGAGUGCCUGCUGGUGACAGGUUCUGUGCUUGGGAUACGUCAUUCAUCAAAACAGGUGGAGGUCUCUGUCUUGAAGUAUUCACGCUGGGGAAUAGAGAAUAAACAAUUCAUUAAAAAACAAGUAAAUUAUAACCUAUUUUAAGUACCUUUUAAAGAAAGAAAACGUGGGCGUAGCAAAGACAGAAGAGGAGCUGUACGGUUUGCUCACCUUUGCUCAGGAUAAGUCUCGAGCAGAGACUUGUGGCGAAGUGAGGGAGUCAACUGAAUGGGUAUGUAGAGAAGGGCACAGGCAGAGGGCACAGUCAGGGGAGCCGUACUGAGGCAGGAGCACAGAGAGUGCUAGGUGAGUCAGAGGUCAUGGUGGGAGAGGACGAGCUAGAUCACAGAGGCCUUGAGAGCCAUUGUAGGGACUCGGCGUUUACUGUGAGUGAAAGGCAGAGACCCUGCAGGGUUUGAGGUAUAACUUAAGUUUUAAAGGGUCACUGACUGCUGGUUGAGACCUAGACAGGGACAGGGAGGAAGGGUAGAAGCAAGCAGACCUGUGAGGAGGCCAUUGAGAAAUUGAGGCAGGAGGUGAUGGUGACUCCCCUCAUUAGAGAUGUGAGAACUGGUGUGAUUCUAGAUACAUUGUCGAGUCAGAGGCUGUCCAUUGUCAUGUGCAUCAUGUAUAUAUCACACUACAGUAAGGGAAAAAAACCUAACAAACAACGACACGAUGCUUUCUUGUCACUUAGAAUUUUUAUUUUGUAUUUAUUGAAUUAUCUCUUAGCGUAUUUAAAUAGAGGCUUUUAAUCCAUAUCACUCAUUGCACACUUAAAAACAAUAAGAUAUGCAAUAUAGAUUGAUUGAGGUAUUCCCCAAACUUAAUGUCAAGAGUCCAACCUUUGAAAUCACUUUUUUAGAGUUGACAUCUGGUUGUCUACAUGAUGGGGGCUUCUGGGCCAUCAAGAACAUUUCUUAAGAGCUGUCCAUUACGUCUCUGGCAUUUUCUUCUAAGCUCCUGGUGCCAUUGUGCAGGCUCUGAUGACAGCCCUUUUUAAUAUUACCAAAAGGUACUAACCAGAGGUUUUCUGACAACAGUCAGGACUCUGAUACUUCUUUCUUUGUUGGUCCAUUCAUGACUUGUUGACUAAAAUUGCAGUUAUCCAUGUUUCACCAGGAAAAACAUUGUUUUAACAAAUUCACACUCUUGUGGGCACAGCGACAGCUGCCUGACCAGACACAUGUAAGGUGCCACUGAUGAUAAGACACGUUCCAGUUUCCGAGAAGUUUUGAGAAAAGUGGCAGGAGAAUCAGAGGCAGAGAAUAGUCAUCUGACCUGUAGAUUAUUAAUAUUCCUGAAGAAAAUUUUAGGGGAGGAAAAAAAACCCAGAAAGAAAUCGAAGUUAUAAUAGAAAACAACUCUGCUAAGCCAAGGAGAAUUUGGAGUCUAAAAUCAACAUGCUCGCCAGGAAGCAUUAUUUAAUAAUAAACAGUGAUGGAACAGGUGUUUCUUUUUUUUUUAAAUUUUUUUUUUAAUGUUUUAUUUUUGAGACAGGGAGAGACAGAGCAUGAACAGGGGAGGGGCAGAGAGAGAGGGAGACACAGAAUCGGAAACAGGCUCCAGGCUCUGAGCCGUCAGCCCAGAGCCCGACGCGGGGCUCGAACUCACGGACCGCGAGAUCAUGACCUGAGCCAAAGUCGGCCGCUUAACCGACUGAGCCACCCAGGCGCCCCAAGGUGUUUCUUUUUUUGAAAAAACAUGUCAUCUUGGGGUUUUGUCUUGUGUUUGUUCCAAAGUAAGUUCCAGGUAAAGAGUUAAAUUAAAAAACAGAAAUCAAUAUGAUUGAACAAAACCCCAACUGAGAGCCAGAGGCAAGAGAAUUUUCUGAUGGAUUGGAUGUGAACGUAUGAGAAAGAGGAUAGGACUUGGAGAUUCUUGGCCCGAGGAACGGAAAGGAUGGCGAUGUCACUUACUGAUAGAGGGCUGUGUGUAAGGGAAGCAGGCUUUGAGUGGGGGUAGAUCUGGCGUUCAGUUUUGGAAAAGUGAAAUGGACUUGCCGGGUAUACAGCAUUCGAGAGCAUGAUCUGAGCUGGAGACGAAAACUUGGGAGUCUUUGGCAUUUCAGUAUGUAAAUUUAAAGUCACGAGACUGUGACGUCAACAAGGGAGUGUGUGUAGGCAGAGAAGAAGGGGCAUGCAUGUUUGGGAGAAGAGAUGGGAGCAGCAAAGGGAGAUUGAGACGGAGCAAUGGGUGAGGUAGGAGGAAGACUUAAAGCGAGUGUGUCCACAAAGCCACGUGAAGAAAAACCUCUCUAGAAGGAAGGAGUUAGCAGCUGUGUCAGAUGUCCGUGUGAUAGAUCCCAUAAGCUAAGGACUGAGAAUUGACCGGCGGAUUUAAGCAGAGUGGAGGUCGCUGGUGACUUUGACGAAGUUUCAGCCGACUGAGUGACGGGGAAAUCCUCAUUGGAAAGGGUUUAAGAGAGAAUAGGAGGAGGGGAAUCACCGAGUACGGACAACCUGGUGGAGAAUUUGACUGCACUAGGGAGGAAACAAGUGGGCUGUCGUGGCUGGUGGCAGAAGUGGGAGCAGUGAAAGAUUUUUUGAUUUACUAGGAUGUUUAUUUGCUGGUGAGAAUGAUUCAGGAACAGCCAAACAAGUUAACAUAAAGGGAGAGGUACACCGUGAGUGGACAAGUUGGGGAUCACAUGACUCGUGGAGGGGAGGCUUCAGAGAAGAGCAUCUGUGGAGGGGCCUGGGGUGGGGUGCAGCUGUGGAUGCUGGCACGCAGGUCGGUGUGGCUCAGAACCAUCGCAGAGGCUUCGGGCAACACUUGAGUUUCAUCUGCAGUUGGCCAAAGGGUUUAGCUGGUUGGGUGUUUGGGGGCGUUUUUUCCUCUUUUUGUGACCCAAAGUAAGUAGAACCAACUUGUCGGAACAAGCAGAUGUUUUAUGAGCUCUUGUUCCUCACUUUCAUGAGUGGUGACAAUUUGGAAAAGACUCGCCGGUUGUAGACAUGUUGACUAUUUUUGUGUUGCCUUCUGGUUAUUUUUGUCCCAUUUUAGAAUCACUGGUUAUGUUUCUUGCCUCGUCUAUAAUUAACUGGUGGUAACUUUUUACCAACAGCGGGUAAAGUGGUAGUUAGGGUAGUGUUACAAGUUUUGUUUUGUUUUGUUUUGUUUUGUUUUGUUUCAAUAUAGUGGUUCUGAGAGCUUUUUAUUCUUAGGAUUCUGAGAUCUGCUGGGACUUCCACAUGCAGCACAGCAUUCCAUUCCACUCCUUGAAAAGGAAAGGAAAAGUGAAUCUUUCCCCUAAGGGCCCCACCAAAGAAGUGUUUCUGUGUUCUCUACCUGUGAUCUCUCACUGGCCAGCUGUAGCAUUAAAUCCUGGUAGAGAGUGUAUUUACAGGAAAAAAAAGUUGAGACUAUAUGCCAUUUAUCACGGAACCUAGGGUGUUUACAUGGCUCUGAAAACCCUACAUUACAUCUUUUCCAGAAUAAUCUUUCUUCCCCAGCUCACCUCCCCAGUUGGAGAAAUAUCCAUCUAUAAACUAAUUCACUUUGGGAUUACAUAAAUUCUUUCUUUUUUGUUAUAGAAGCUGUCCUCAUUUAAAAUGAUGCUAUUUUCCAGCUCUUUAGGCUGAUUUGAAAUCUACUUUUUAUAGAUAACAUUAUUCUUUUCAUUUCUUUUCAUUUCAUUUCUUUUCAUUAGAAAACAUCUUUAGAACGAGAUUAUGCUACUGAAUUUGAUUUUGUGUGUGUAUUUAGUUUUUGAAUAUUAUUUUUAAUAUCUUUAAUAGGUUAAUAGAAAUUAUGAGAUCUAUGUUUCUCUUCAUAGAGACUUAUUUUCAUUUUUGUCUGAUUCUACAUGAGAAGGGGUGAUCUUUUUUUUUUUUUAAUUUAUUAAGUUUCCUAGAAAACAUUGUUUUACAUAAAUCCACAACCUAGAUUCAUGCCGUAUCACGGAAGAACCUUGAAAGCAUUUUGCUAAAUGAGCGAAGACGGUCACAAAAGACCACAUAUUGUAUGAAUCCUGUUUGUGUGAAACGUCCAGAAUGGGCAGCUGCAUAGGGUCAGAAAGUAGACGAGUGGCGGUCAGGGGUUACAGGAUGGGGAGCAGGAGGUGACUGCUAGUGAUAAAAAUGUCAUAAAAUUAAGUAGUGAUGAUGGUUGCACAGCUCAGUGACCAUACUGAAAACUGUUGUGUUGCUAUAUUCUGUUUCUAGAAACCUGUAGUCCAGCAAGUUAGUCUAUUAGAUUUUUUUUUUUUUAUAAUGUAUAGUUUAGCCACUUAAGCCAUUCCUUUCUCCUCAAUUCUUCAGGUUUGAAGUUGAGUAAGUGGUAUAAAAAAUACUGUUACUUUUCAUUGAAUCCAACUGACUUUACCACUUCUAGUUUUUUAUCACGUCCUGAUUACAGAAGUAAUACACAGUGUUAAGUAUUUGAAUAAUAAAUGUUUGUAAAUACAGAAAGGUACAAAAGAGAAGUUUCUCGAAAUUCCUGCCUGUUUAGACAUGAUGGCUGCAUUGAAUAUAUAUCCUUCCAGGUCUGUUUCUGAAUUUAGGUUAGCCAGUAUGUCCAUUAUUUAAAUGUUUACAGCAGAGGUGAGGUCAUAGUUUAUGUACUAGUCUCUAGCUUGCUUUUCUGCAUUUAGGAAUAUAACAUCUUUCUGUGUCAGCAUACAAAUUUUUUACUCUUGUUUUUUGCUUGCUUUUGAUAUCUUAUUGUAUGAUGCGCUACCACAAUUUCUGAGAUGCACAUAUUUUCAUAUUUUGACACUUAUUUUUUUAAGUUUGUUUCUUUUUGAGAGGGAGAAUGAGUGGGGGAGGGGCAGAGAGAGAGAAUCCCAAGUAGGCUCCACACGUCAACGCAGAGUCCAGUGUGGGGCUCGAGCUCACGAACCUGUGAGAUCAUGACCUGAGCCGAAGUCAGAUGCUUAACUGACUGAGCCACCCAGGCACCCUUCUGUUUUGACUUUUAUAAAAUGUGGGUGCAUCUUAGAAUCUGUGGCCUGCCACAUUUAAUUGGAAGUAUUUUUUCUUAGACGUAAAAUGAUGGUAUGUCUUACAAUUAUUGGAGUCUGAGUUUCGAUGAAUGUGGUAUGUAAUACCACUUGUGAAUGGACAUUCUUUUUAAUAUUUUUCCAUUAAAAUAAUGCGUCAGGGCAUUAUGUUUGUUUCUCUGUAGGAUUUAAUUCUUACAAGUGAAAUUGCUCUGUCAGUUUUAAUAGAUUUUGCCAAAUUUCUUUCUUAAAAGAUGAUAUCCAUUUACAUUGCUGUGCACAGUGGAUGAGAGGGUUUACUGUCUCAACCUUCAUCAACAUUGGGUAUUCUUAGCUUUUAAAAUCUUAAUCUAAUGUGCAAAAAAUUCUUCUUGUUUUAAUUUGUAUCUUAGGAAGGCCAGUGAGGUUAAGUGUCUCUUCAUAUUUUCAUUGUUAUUUUACAUUUCUUCUGCAAAUUGCGCGUAUAGCUGUCACCACUUUAAAAACAAUUGAGUUGGCCUUUUAAUCUUUGUCCUGUAUCUUGAGAAUAUUGUUUACAUUGGGAAUGUUGAUUCUUACAUGUGUAGCAGAUUUUUUUCCCCAUAAAGUCUAUUGUCUUGACGUUUAUGGCAUGUUUUGUCAUAGGGAAGUCUUAAUCUGUGUUAUGGCACAGUUUUAUCAGAGUGUUUCUGAAUGUUGAUUUUCUUUUCUAGUGUUGAUAUGAUUAUUUUCCCGAGUUCGCCAGGAAAAUUUAGAUUAGCACACCCUUUUUAAAGCGUCUCUGGGCAGUGCUGAAUGUCAGAAUCACAUUCUGCUUGACAAAUGGGAUUGCCUUUCACUCUGUUGUUGCCUGUAUGAACAGUCUUUGGCUUUAUAUACUUUUGUUUUAAGGUAUGUCAAAGUUUGGUUCUGGAGUUCAGUGGAAAGAAUCGUGUGCCAAAAGUGGAGAGGCUUGCGUCCCUUCUUUUAUGUGUCUCAUUCAGAGAUGUGUGCUGCCACUCCCUGGGUCUCAGUUUUCUGGGGGGUGAAAUGAGAGGGCUGGAACAAGUAUCUCCCUUAUCUCUGGCUUAAAAUUGUAAACACUUGCUAGUUUGGUUGAUCUGGAAUGCGGGCAUUUGCGUACAUCGCAUCACCAUUUAUUUCCUGAAUCCAGUGCAAUUCUGUUACUCAGUAUUUUGACACAGUAUUCCAUUUGUUUCUGAUUUUGGUUGCUUGAUCAUCGAUGAGUUGUUGUUAAAUACAUCCUCUCAGCUUUUUGCUGUGAAAUAUAUCUAAGCAUCUCAUAUUUACGUCCAAUUAUCCGCUCUUAAAUCUUUACCCAAUUUUGUAGUGAAAAUAUUUGUGAUAACCAUUAAAGCAAAGAAAUGAGGCAUAAAUACAGAGAAUAAAGAUGAAGUAAGCCUUGGAGUUAAAACUAAAGUAAAACUAAACGUGGAUUUGUUGUCAGAUUAAUCUGUGUUCCAGUCCCUCCUGUGUCGUGAUGCAUACCAUGAGCAAGUUAAUUUACCCCAAACCUCACUUUCUUUAUCUUUGUAAUGCAAAUAAUAAUGAUUUCACAGGAUUAUUAUUGCGCUUAAACCCUGCUAUUUAGUAGACAUUCAGUAAUUCAUCCGCCCUUUAGGUAUAACAACUAGUGAUAGACCCAAAAGGAUUCCUGUAUUUUUUGCAUACUCGAAGCUAUUAAACUUGAUUGUUUAGCUUCAGAAUCUUGGAAUAGAUCUAAAUGCAUUUCUCUGUGAAUUUGAUUAUUGAAAUCCCUUUCCGCUCUCGAAACGUGUGCAUUUGAGUCUUUUAUUUUUAUACACAGACCCCACUCUUAAUGGCACUGUGUGUUUUACUUAUAAUUAAGUUCUUACCACCGUCCCUUUAUAAUGGCAUGCCAAAUGCACAGAGAAAUGAAAUCAGUAAACUUAAAGUGGCGCCUGCCCAGAUAGAGUUGUACUAUAACUAGUCUUCUCAUGAAGUCUCUAGAAAAUGCAUCAGACAUAUCAUAUAUGAAAGCAUAAAUCUGAAUUAAUGUGUUUACACUUGAAUUAACGUGUAACUAGUAUGUGACAUGUUCUUAAGAGCAAGACUUAUGUUUUUG